rnacentral:snoRNA from 1 species
CCCCUCCAGAUUCCUUGUCCCUCAAACCUAAACAGUGGUUGAGUGGCUUUAAAAAAAGAGGAAAAGUAAAAUUGAAAGGGGCAUGACGUCUUCAUUUUCAAACAAGCUCAUCUCAAACAAAC